GCCGCGCCCUCUGGCGGCUGCGCCCGGAGCAGCGCAAACUCCGCGCAGCGCAAACCCCGCGCACCGCUCCCUCCGCGCUUCCGCGGCGGGACUCGAGGAACUUCAGGCGGUGGCUAAGAAAUGUGCAGAGCACAGGUAAGUCAGGCAAUAAGCAAAGCAAGCCCUCCAGCAGAACGAGUACUCUCCCACUGCCUCCACCCUGAAGAGCCCGUCCCAGCAGCAGGAUCUUCCCCGAUGCCCCCACUGAGAGAUGCAGAGGAGAAGCACCACCUCCAGCGUUUCAAGGCCUGGUGCCCAACUGCGACUGCCACUGCGUGGGAGAGUGGAAGACCCAGGCAGCAAGGUAUGGCAUGAGAUUAAUUAUCACAAUCGGCACAAACUUCCUUACAUUUCUUUUGUAUUUCUCAGCUCUACUGAUACUGAUAAAUUACCGCAAUAACUACGGAGUGAGAUAAUAGUGAUAGCAAUUUGCAGUCUAUCAGGAAUUAAUUCUCUCUUAAUCAGGAACUGCUUUAACAGCAUGGUGGGUGUUAAGAGUACAGCACUUCGUAAUAUUAAAUAUUUGUGUAUCUGAAGUAGUCUUAAAAAAAUCUGACUAGACAAAUCCCACAAUCAGAAAACAAGAAAGAAAUACAAAAUUUGAAAUGCAGUUACUAUAAAAUAUUUGAAAAUGUAACUUAAGGACAAUUUCAUUAGCACCAGGAACCUACCAAAUUAACUUCAUGUACUAUUCAUGCUAAGGUUGGUUUACAAUUCUCUGUAUGAAAGUAAUUCUGUUUAUUAGGCAGUGAACUACAGGUUACAUGUUAAACAAUAUUAACUUAAAUACACACUUAAUACCUGUACAAAAGUACUUAAAAUGCAAUCUAAGGUUAACUCCAUCACUAACAGGUUUUAUGUAAAUGUUCAGCACAAGAAAAUACAAGAUAAAAUAUUCUUUUCACAGCAACUAAGUAGUGUACAUUUAAACUGAUCUUAAUGAAAGCGGCUGAUGAAGGAGUUAGUAAGCAAGGCAAUAGCAUUAAUUUCUUAGCAAUUCUAGCACAGAAUUACAGAAUUCUUUGAAGGCAUCUUUACAGUGCUCUGAACAUGGAAAAACCUAACAUACGAAGGUCUUCCGUACUUCAGAGGGUUAUGACACAUCACUGUGAAAUCUUUUUGCAUAAACGAACCGUUAAGUCUUUUCUGAACCUAAAACUUUCUCCAUGCACCAUUCAGAUCUCACAAACUAGAUCUAUUAGAGAUAUUUAAAGUAUUUUGGGACCUUUUUUUUUUUGCUUUUUCCAAGAAAGUUUGGACCAGAGGUUCCUUGACAUCCCUUCCAACCUGGUAUUCUAUGAUUUAAAGAUUUAUGAUUUGAUUUACUGUUAUACAUCCAGAAUAUGAGGCAAUCAACUGAGGGAACAUUUUUUAGUGAGCGUACGGGUCACUGUAAAAAGCUCUUACCUUCACACUGUUGUUUACCAAAUGUAAUUAAGAACUUCUUGCUAUUUGUUCUUUCUUUAGACCAUAUAUGUUCAGUCUACUCAUAUUUGUGGAUAAAAUGAAAAGAGCAGCUGUGACAGGAAAACUAAAGAUGCGGGCAAGGCUUCAUUGGGAAGACUGUACAGUCUCAUCAGUCAUGGUCAGGCAAAAGGCUGCCAAGACAGCAAAGAAGAUGAAGAACCUCCAAUACGUUCUUGAAAUCAAGUUCUGGAUUUGUCAGUUCAGCAAAGGGAAGCCAGAAGGGAGGUAUGAUGGCUCUUGGCAAAUACCUGAGAAGAAACAACACUGGGAUAAGCAAAUAAGUAGUUGUACUACAGGAUGCUAGCACUAGUACUACCUUGAAAAAAACCCAGCAACCUAAUCUAAGCAUAAAGGGAGGUAAAUACAUAAACAGCCUUCUUGUAAGACUGGUGGAGGAGGGGGGAAACUACUUUUAAGAGUGAGUAACUGAAUUCAUUUACUAGGAAGAUUAUUCUGAUCCCUUUUUUCUAACAUGUUGGAAUCUUAAAAAAAAAUUGAAUAAAAUACAGAAAAUAUUUCAGCCUGGAUCAAGCAAAAUAUUGCACAUAUAUUUAUGAGCUCUAACUCUAUGUCAAUUCUAAAUUAAAAGGUUAUUUUGAAAGAAGGAAUGAGAGAAAGAGAAAGAAAAAGAAAGAGAGGAAGAGUCAGGGAGAUAAAAAAGGGAGAACCAAAAGGAAACAGGGAACGAGAAAUAUUUUCAAAUAAAAUAAAAGGUUCACAACAAGGUGUUUUAAUGCAUUCAUUCAAGGUAUUUUUGAGAUGGGUAAUUAUCAAAAUGUACUGUUUCACUGUUUGGUUUCAAGGAAUCAGCAUUUUUUUUCUUUAAAAAAUUAUUAAAAAUCCUAAAGUCUCUGAUGUACAAAAACCACUGUUCUUUUUUGAAGUGCUCAUAUAACUUUCAUAAUAAGAUAGACUUCAAUAUGUGGAUAAUAUUGUAAGCCUACAGGAAUAGAAAAUCAGGGUAUGUUAUGGCUUUGUUAAUAUUGCUGGAAUAAGUUCUUUCUUAAUAUUCUCUAAAUCAAGGGAUUAAAAAGAUUUUUUUUCUUUAUUAAUUUUUCUGAUUUUAAGCAAAGAAAAAAGAAAAAUGCAAAGAUAAUUUGUAGAUUUUGUGGACUGACAGAAGAACAUUUAGUAAGGUUUAUGUGAUACUAACUGCAGGCAAUCAAAGAACCGCAGUUUCUGGAUUUUUAUGAUUAAGCGCACGUCCGAGCUCAGAUAUAUUGUUUUUGUCUGCAUGGUGGUUCACACGCAAGCGUAUAUAGAUUCAAAAAUAUGAAUAAAUAAAUACACCCAGGUAUCAACAAUAGUAAUAUUAACCCAUUUUCAAACAAUUAGCAGUUCAUACAGGCAUGUUAUAUGAUAAUCAAGCUUCAACAAUACAUAACCUUCAUAUAAUAUAAAUGUUUUUAUUUUCCCUGAAUUUUGGAGACAAAGCAAGCACUGGAAAAAAAAGUCACCUAAGGAUGCAAAAGUUUGAGGAAACCCAAAUAUGAGAAAACAAGAGGUUAGAACUGAAAACGACUGUUUUUACCAUCUUAAACUACAAACAGUGAUGCCUUUCCAGAUAUAACACAUGAGCCUGCAAAAUGAAGGGUCUUCUAUGGCUGAUGUGUGGAUGUGAAGGACGAAAGAUGAAAGACCACCCAAGUUAAUCUUCAUGGAAACUGCAAAAGUGCGUGGAAUAUUAGGCAAACACAGAAGCUGAGUAUUUAUUAGGAAGAUCGCAACUGGUCCUGAGUAAAAACGAGGAUUGAGAUUCAAUACAAAGUUAAACGAAGAUAAAUAAUCCUGCAACUUGAGAAGUUUGCACUGCAAUACGGAGAACCACAGAAAGGAGACUAAUAGUUCAAAGAUCAAGAGAACUGUGAAAAUUACAUACAAAUUAUUUUUAAAUUUGUAAUGCAUUUUCUCCAGCUGCCUACACUCAUACUUUUACAUUCAAGUUUUGUGCAAGCAACUUUAUUUCCAUCAAACGUUAACAUUUUGUGGGCAAACACAAAAAUCACUAUUUAUGUCUCCACACACGACAUGGGGUUUUUUUUCAAUUUAUUCAAACACUCAUCCUCUCAGAAAGUAAAAACAAUUUUGUCCAGCAAGCAAGAACCACAGACAGGUCUCAAGUGAAUAGGAAUGCCUUUAAAGAGCCCUUUUCUGAUGAAAACUGAAACAUCUGCUGAGCAUGUUGGAGGGAGUUGUAUUUGUUGGAUUCCUGACCACAGCAUAUUUCUUCCUUGAGCCACAUGAAGUAGGAUGAAGGGCAGAGGAGAUGGCAAGCAGGGAUAAACCUUGAGCACUGAGACUGUAAUUUCAGCCCAAAGCCUGUUCUGAAGGAGGGGAUACAAGAGUCUGCUAAGGAAUAGGAAGACAAAUCCUUCCUUCUGCUUAUGAACAUCUAGACCUGGAAUUUAGAAACACCAAAAAAGAAGGAGAGCUGUAGAUGAAUCCAGGCAGGAAAAGGGAAUAACAACUCUUAUCAAGCAAUUACAAUUGUCAGAGAUAAAUCAGAACAGCUUUUUCAGCUAAAGAGAAAGAUGGCUGAUCUCUUGAAAUUCUUCUAAAACAUUCCUACAGAAUGAGCAGUAGAAAAUUGUCUUUGAAUCUGCUAGAAUUACAAGAAAAAUUAUUGUUACUUAUACAGACAUUAAUGAAUGGAACACAAAUCAAUAUAACUCACAACAGUAUUUCAUGUAUUCCCCAUCCAAAAUUCUGUGUUUCCCUGUUGUGUUUCAGUGUUUGCAUCCUAUAGCACGAUUCCUAUAUCUUCCUUAGUUCUGGAAACUGUCCUAUUAGAAACUACUGUUCUUCUGCUUGAGAAUGACAAGGUAGGGUUUUAACCAUCAACACUGCUCAGUGUCAUGAGUAAAGUUGGGUGAAAUUAACCGCUCAGUGUCAUGAGUAAAGUUGGGUGAGAUGGAUUGGUGCUGAAAUGCUUGAGUUGCACCCAGAGUUGUCAUGUCCUCCUAUCCCUACUGAGGGCCAACACAUUUAGAAAGUGAUUGCAAUGGGAGGGAGGGAUUAGCAGACAUCACACUAACAGAUUAUGUUUUCUGAAGGUUCUAGAGAAAAAAAAAAUAUGGUGAGCUGGAGAGGUGCUGGAGAGCAGAUUUAUCAGAACUGAAUUUCCUACUUUUUCAGUUUGCCUAACAGUGAGAGAAAAUCUAACAGGUAUUCUAAUAGGUAUUCUUAACAGGGCCAAAAAUUGUCUGAGCUCUCCCAACCAACCAGCUUCAGAAAAAUAAACCCCUGAAAAAUACAAAGCAAGAACUUAAGAAUAUGACUAAGAUGAAUAAGAAGUGACUUGACACUUUACUUAAAAGUCUUCUACAUUCUAGCUUCUGACUAUGAAUUAUUUAAAAGAUGUUUGGAAAACAUCAUCACUUAUGGAAAAAAUCUGCAUCUCUGAAGAGAUCACAGCUUUGUGGACAGGAUUCUAAUUCAUAAUUUCAAUAUACCAUCUCAGGGGUGCCCAACUAUUGAAACAAGAAAAAGCAAUUAUAAGAAGCUUAUUUACCCAGUUUUCUGUUUUUUCCUCCAAAUACAAUGUAACAGGCUCGACUACCCUUCCUCCAGACAGCUCCUGGGAAGGCUUAUGAAGACAGCACAGCACGGGGGGCCUGCAGAACCACGCCAACAGCCUCAGACACAGCAAUUGCCAGACAACUGGCGUCUAAAUUCAACAAUAUUUAUAAUCUUCCAUCUAAUGGCUGGUUCUCACCAUGGAGAACCCCAGGGAUAGUAACCUGCUGGUAAGCCCACACUUCAGUGCUGGUAUUCAGUCUAGGCUUCAGUGACUAUCUAUCUAAAUCUCUGGAGAUGUGCCUACCCUGGCAGGAGUGGAUAAGCAUAUGUAUGCAUAUAUCGCACAGCCCUUCAGCUUCAGGGAAACUAUUAGUACAGCUUAUUCAAGUUCCAGCUAAAGUUUCUCAGUUCCUGGUGUAAGAAAGCUGUGACCACCACAGUACUAGUUAUUACAGAAGCUCUCUCACUGGAAGUUAUUAAGAGGAAACAGGACCAAGUAUUUCUGCAAUUCAAGCACUGACAGGGCAGAGAGGCAACAUUACAAACAUUGUAUUUUAAGGAUAUAAUAUGUGGAAUUCUCUCCGCUGCUCUCUACCACUUUUAUGAUGCAACUGUUUAUAGCAAAGUAGGGACAGUAGGGACUGCUUAAUCAGGACAGUCUAAUGUAUGGGCAAUUAUCCAAGGCCACGUAUUUUCUAAAUUCUGUAUGGGCAGAGAUGGAGCUUAAGAGCUCUGUAGGGAUCAGAGCUGCUAACGAACUUCUAAGGAGGGCUCUGGAGACUGGGUUGUGCAUAAUGAGAAAAUCUGGAUAUUCAGUGCGAAGAACUCUCCCAAUUUAGCUGCAGUCUAUGUAAAUUAAAUUUGUAUUUAAUGCUUAUCACUACACAGUCCACUUUAGCACUGGGAUAAACUGGGUAGCCUGUGACUUUUCUCUUUUUUGUUACGAAUGUGGCUGAAAGUGGUUCAGAAAGGGGAGACCUGGAAACCUUGGCCAAGCACAUUGUUGGGAAGGACUAUUAUGUAGACAAAUUUUCCUAUCAACUCCCACCUCUUCAGACUACAGCAUCAUGCUUGCAGGCUACGUGCUUAUUUAUUCCCAUGUGUUACAUUUGGACAUCAUAGGCAUAUAGUGUGCAUAUAUAUACACAUGUAAGUUUGUGUGUGUAUAUAUACACACACACACACAUUUAUAAUGCAUCUGCUAAAACAAAGGGAUGUCAAGAACCUUUAAAAUACUGGAUUUACAAAAGAAGAAAAAAAUAAUCUUCAAAAAAACUUUAUUGUAUAUUUUCUUCUAUUGUUCCUUCCACCUAACCAAAAGUGUUUCCACUAUGUCUAACUUACUAAAGACAUCUUUGAUGUUUACCUUUAGUUCUAAUCCAGUUCCUUUGUUACUGAAUCAGUUCAGAAAAAAAUCUCUGUUCAGGAAAGCACUUAAACAAACACUUAAAUACAUUCUUAAAUGUGACUUCUUGAAUUAGCCUAAUAAUUUAAAGUAGUAUUAAUAAACACUCCUAAAUAAACAAUUCCAUUUGACAUGUCUUCACAAUGUAGUGCUGCUCUCAUAUUCUUUCAUCUUUCUUCAUUUUUACCACUAAGACAACAAAUAGUAGGAUAUGAGAAGAUGGUUCCACGUUUUCAAUAGUCAAGGCUUAAGAUGGCUUUGAAGAGCCUCAUUUUCAGAAGCAUACCACUUCAGAAAAUCAGGUUCACAAUGAAAGAGUCAUCCUCUGAGCACCCUAUAUCAAUAAUUAUUUUGGAAAACUUGACCUACUCUUCUAGGCAAACUAUUAUAUCCAUAGCAACAUACAACCUGGCUUCCAGUUUGCCACUGCAGCUUUGUAACCAUUGAUUGUAUUAUGAAAUAGUUGCUGGAACUGAUCACAACUGGUAUGUGCGUAUGAGCAUGCACAUGUCUCUGUGUGUGUAUGUGUGUGCGGUACAAAUUGGGGUUUGACCAUGCCAAGUGUCCUCCCUUCCCUCAAGGCUCAGACAGACAAGUCUCCCUGAGUGUAACAGAGAUGUUCCCAGAACUCUCCACUUUACCCUUCUUUUCUGCAAAAAGCAUAUGUGUCAAAUUCAAGAGGGGGAUAAAUUCUGUGACUGAGCGCUUCAGCAGUGGUGCAGUGGAAGGUCUGUGGAAAAGGUCUGGUCUGUGGCCAGUGCAGCAUGGGAGGAGGACCAUCACCAGCAGACUCACAGCCUGAUCCCACCCCAACAAUCCCAGGUGUGCUUCAGCACAGUGCUAGAUACUAUUUUCUUCCUGACAGCGGCAGGGUGAGGGCAUUUUCACUUUCACUAUCAAUGCUCCCAGCCAUGCGCUCCCUCUCUCCCACUCUCAGCUCUGGAGCUGCAAUGGGAAUCUCCUGUUUGAGGACCCACUCAUAACUUGCAGGGCUCUUGUGAAACCCAGGCAUUUUCCUCCUACAGUUCAGGAAAUAGUACCACAAGUUGAACUUGCAUAAGGAUAAGGACAAAAGCACAAGGAUGGAAUAAGCAACAGGGAACAGUGAUAGGGGAUGUGGAGAAAGCCAAUACUGUCAAUGAGAAAAGGCACACAGGACUUAUCUAAAGCCUGAUAACCAGUUACACUUUACAAUGGCUCAGGAACCAUCUAUAAACUCCUAACUGGCAUAAUUUAACAAAUGCCCUGAAGAACAGGCUUGGUUCAGAAGUACUCAGACGAAAAAAGAUCUAAAUGCAUUUGAUAUGUAAAUCUAACCAGCUCUACUUGCUACACAAAAGGGCUUUAUCCUCUUUUCAGAUUUUCAGCUUUAUAAUGACAGUGGUGAUCUUAGGGAUAUCUCUAGUCAACUUCAGAA